AGUGAACGCUGGCGGUAGGCCUAACACAUGCAAGUCGAACGGCAGCACAGUAAGAGCUUGCUCUUACGGGUGGCGAGUGGCGGACGAGUGAGGAAUACAUCGGAAUCUACUUUUUCGUGGGGGAUAACGUAGGGAAACUUACGCUAAUACCGCAUACGACCUACGGGUGAAAGCAGGGGAUCUUCGGACCUUGCGCGAUUGAAUGAGCCGAUGUCGGAUUAGCUAGUUGGCGGGGUAAAGGCCCACCAAGGCGACGAUCCGUAGCUGGUCUGAGAGGAUGAUCAGCCACACUGGAACUGAGACACGGUCCAGACUCCUACGGGAGGCAGCAGUGGGGAAUAUUGGACAAUGGGCGCAAGCCUGAUCCAGCCAUACCGCGUGGGUGAAGAAGGCCUUCGGGUUGUAAAGCCCUUUUGUUGGGAAAGAAAAGCAGCAGGUUAAGACCCCGCUGUUCUGACGGUACCCAAAGAAUAAGCACCGGCUAACUUCGU
rnacentral:rRNA from 1 species